rnacentral:rRNA from 1 species
AACGUAGGAGACAAACGUUAUCCGGAGUACUGGGCGUAAAGGGCGUGUAGGUGGUUCUGUAAGUCUGGCGUGGAAAUUUCUCGGCUUAACCGAGGCAGGUCGUCGGAUACUGCAGGGCUAGAGGACGGUAGAGGCGUGUGGAAUUCCGGGUGUAGUGGUGAAAUGCGUAGAGAUCCGGAGGAACACCAGUGGCGAAGGCGACACGCUGGGCCGUACCUGACACUGAUGCGCGACGAG